rnacentral:rRNA from 1 species
GACGAACCGUGCGAACGUUGUUCGGAUUCACUGGGCUUAAAGGGCGCGUAGGCGGGUUCUCAAGUCCGGGGUGAAAUCCUCUCGCUUAACGAGAGAACUGCCCUGGAUACUGGGGACCUCGAGGGAGGUAGGGGCAUGUGGAACUUCCGGUGGAGCGGUGAAAUGCGUAGAUAUCGGAAGGAACGCCGGUGGCGAAAGCGACGUGCUGGACCUUUUCUGACGCUGAGGCGCGAAAGCCAGGGGAGCAAACGGG